ensembl:snRNA U6 U6 spliceosomal RNA
GUGCUCACUUUGAUAGCACAUAUACUAAAAUUGGUACAAAAACAGAGGAGAUUAGCAUGGCCCCUGCACAAGGAUGUCACGCAAAUUCAUGAAGUGUUCCAUAUUUUU